GGAGGUGUAGCUCAGUGGUAGAGCGCUUCGCUUUGUAUGUAAGGCCCGGGGUCUGAUCCCCUGCACCUCCA